rnacentral:rRNA from 1 species
GGGGCGGCCAAAACUGCAGUCGAGCGAGCUUGCCUAGAUGAUUUUAGUGCUUGCACUAAAUGAAACUAGAUACAAGCCAGUGACGGACGGGUGAGUAACACGUGGGUAACCUGCCCAACACUACUGGGAUAACACCUGGAAACAGAUGCUAAUACCGGAUAACAACACUAGACGCAUGUCUAGAGUUUGAAAGAUGGUUCUGCUAUCACUCUUGGAUGGACCUGCGGUGCAUUAGCUAGUUGGUAAGGUAACGGCUUACCAAGGCAAUGAUGCAUAGCCGAGUUGAGAGACUGAUCGGCCACAUUGGGACUGAGACAUGGCCCAAACUCUUACGGGAGGCAGCAGUAGGGAAUCUUCCACAAUGGACGAAAGUCUGAUGGAGCAACGCCGCGUGAGUGAAGAAGGGUUUCGGCUCGUAAAGCUCUGUUGGUAGUGAAGAAAGAUAGAGGUAGUAACUGGCCUUUAUUUGACGGUAAUUACUUAGAAAGUCACGGCUAACUACGUGCCAGCAGCCGCGGUAAUACGUAGGUGGCAAGCGUUGUCCGGAUUUAUUGGGCGUAAAGCGAGUGCAGGCGGUUCAAUAAGUCUGAUGUGAAAGCCUUCGGCUCAACCGGAGAAUUGCAUCAGAAACUGUUGAACUUGAGUGCAGAAGAGGAGAGUGGAACUCCAUGUGUAGCGGUGGAAUGCGUAGAUAUAUGGAAGAACACCAGUGGCGAAGGCGGCUCUCUGGUCUGCAACUGACGCUGAGGCU